rnacentral:rRNA from 1 species
AGAGUUUGAUCAUGGCUCAGGACGAACGCUGGCGGCGUGCCUAAUACAUGCAAGUCGAGCGAAUCGAUGGGAGCUUGCUCCCUGAGAUUAGCGGCGGACGGGUGAGUAACACGUGGGCAACCUGCCUAUAAGACUGGGAUAACUUCGGGAAACCGGAGCUAAUACCGGAUGCGUUCUUUUCUCGCAUGAGAGAAGAUGGAAAGACGGUUUACGCUGUCACUUAUAGAUGGGCCCGCGGCGCAUUAGCUAGUUGGUGAGGUAAUGGCUCACCAAGGCAACGAUGCAUAGCCGACCUGAGAGGGUGAUCGGCCACACUGGAACUGAGACACGGCCCAGACUCCUACGGGAGGCAGCAGUAGGGAAUCUUCCGCAAUGGACGAAAGUCUGACGGAGCAACGCCGCGUGAGUGAUGAAGGCUUUCGGGUCGUAAAACUCUGUUGUUAGGGAAGAACAAGUACGAGAGUAACUGCUCGUACCUUGACGGUACCUAACCAGAAAGCCACGGCUAACUACGUGCCAGCAGCCGCGGUAAUACGUAGGUGGCAAGCGUUAUCCGGAAUUAUUGGGCGUAAAGCGCGCGCAGGCGGUUUCUUAAGUCUGAUGUGAAAGCCCACGGCUCAACCGUGGAGGGUCAUUGGAAACUGGGGAACUUGAGUGCAGAAGAGGAAAGUGGAAUUCCAAGUGUAGCGGUGAAAUGCGUAGAGAUUUGGAGGAACACCAGUGGCGAAGGCGACUUUCUGGUCUGUAACUGACACUGAGGCGCGAAAGCGUGGGGAGCAAACAGGAUUAGAUACCCUGGUAGU